CAAUUCUUGGACAACUUAAGGCGAUAACCUCAAAAGGGCUGCAGCUGCCGCUUCUUGACGAUAAUUCUCGUCGCAGUCACAGACGCUGUAGAGAUUAGCUUUGCUAAUCGCCAGAACUAUGGCAUCGAAUUUAGUUUCAUUUGCAUCGCUGAGCGGCAGCAACAUGAGUCGGAAAAAUGGAAAAUUAAAAUCAUUGCUGCAAUGUCUAGUACUGGGAGGAUUCCUGUUGCAGCUGAGCAUGGCCCAGCAUCAACAUAGAGAGCCCUACAACAUAAACGAAGACUUUGGUGACUAUGAGGAAGAUGUUCGGUUUGACAAUCAUCAUCCUUUGGAUCCCCAUGCCAAUUACGCGCACCAUCCCCAAACUAAUGGCCACAUGUAUAGGGGAGAUUCGUAUUCACAGACCGACAGAGAUGACUAUCCAGAGCCUCGUAUUAUAGCCCCGCCUGUGCCUGAGACGGAAGAAGAGAACCCAUAUUCAAGGGAACAAACUCCCGAAUCAACUUCGUAUGAGCAAUCACACGUCGCCAGAUCUCAAAGUUCCAGAGAAGAAUACCCUGAGCCACGUAUAAUAGCGCCUCAUAUUUCAACUUCAAACACAAGAGAGGAAACGGUGGUAAAUCCUCUAAGUUUUCCUUCUCAUUUGUCGAGAGAAUAUCCUGCACCUCGCAUUAUCGCCCCACACCAGCCCAAUAUGCAUGAGAGCGAUAUGCGUCACAGGCAGGAAUCUGAGGAGCCUAGAGCUAAAACACCUCAUAGCCCAAGGGCGGAAGAUAGGAGUCUGUAUGAUAGGGAAGAAAAUAUGGACCCACGAACGAUAAGUCAUCAACCGCCAUCGGUCCCAACCCAUACAAGAGAAGAUCCUCGCCUUAUAUCUCCCCCAGCUGCAAGAGCAGACGAUAGAAGUGUCUACGGAAAAGAGGAAAACCCCAAUCCACAUACUAUGACCCAUCAUGUUCCCACUUAUGCAAGAGAAGAUCCCCGCCCAGCUCAAAGAGCUGACGACAGAAGUCUGUAUGGAAGAGAGGAAAAUCCCUAUCCACAUACAAUGACCCAACAGGCACCCACCUAUGCAAGAACAGAUCCUCGCCAGAUGUCACCUCAAGCACCAAGAGCUGAAGAUAGGAGCCUUUACGAAAGGGAAGAACAUCGCCAUACCCCAAGCGUGAACCAUCAAGCCCCAACCUAUACCAGAGAGGAUCCCCGAAUGGUGACACCCCACACAAGAGUAGAAGUUCCCGAAGCUCGUCAAAUGCUACCCAUCUAUACCGCAACUCGCACCCUAUAUCCUCAAGCGGACAGACGAGAAGAAAGACCUGUUGAUCCCAGAACUAUAACUCCACCACCUCCAAGAAAUUACCCAGAAUCGCAACACAUGCCACCACCUCCUCAGCAUCGAAACGCUUUGUCAACAGGCAAUCGGGAAACCCAUGUCAUAUCGGUGCCACGCCUGGGUUCGGUUCGUGGUUACAGGGAAUUCAAGAUAAUCAGAAACAGACCCAUCAGUGCUUAUCUGGGUCUCAAGUAUGCCACCGUGAGACCCGGCAUUGGACGAUUCCAGAGUGCUUCUCCAGCCGGAAUAAACCCUUAUGGGGAAAUUGAUGCCACGUUUGAACCUUCAAAUUGCCCACAAUUUCCUGAUUUAUCCUUAGUGGCCGAACGAGAGGCUCGUGGUGAAGAUGUGGAUGACUGCUUAUCGUUGAACAUCUAUACACCAGCGAGACCUGGAUCCUAUCCUGUUAUGGUAUUCGUCCAUGGAGAGAUGUUGUUCGAUGGUAGCGCUGAAGAGGGCCAGCCUGAUUACUUCUUGGAACACGAUGUUGUUUUGGUUACCGUAAAUUAUCGUUUGGCACCCUUUGGCUACCUAUCCACGCUUACGGAUGAUAUGCCUGGCAAUGUGGCCUUGUCCGAUGUGCAAAUGUCUUUGGAAUGGCUACAGCAAAACAUUCGCUACUUCAAUGGCAACCCAGACCAAGUGACGCUAUUCGGCCAGGCAGGCGGUGCCACCUUGGUUCAUGCUCUAAGUUUGAGUGGUAAGGCCCAAGGUCUGUUCCAUAAACUAAUUUUGCAAUCAGGCACUGCCUUGAAUCCCUAUUUUUUGGAUGAACAACCCACUGGUACUCUGCGCAGUUUUGCCCAUUUCGCUCGCUGUCCUCCCAGCCGCAGCAUCGAAGGUUUCGCCAGCUGCUUCGAGAGAAUGAAAACCUCGGAACUUUUAAAUUACUUCAAGAGAUACUUUGAAAGCAAUGAGCCCAAAGGUCUGGCUUUUGUCUGUGGCUUUAAAUUGAUUGUGGGCGAUAAAUUGGGCUAUCUACCCCAACAUCCUGCCUCUAUGGUGGCCAAUAAUACCUAUCCCACCAUAGUCGGUGUUGCCAAAGAUGCUGGUGCUUUCAUAAUGACCCGAUUCUAUGACCAACUGGUCGAAUUACGUUCCCGUAACAUUUCCGACUACAUUAAUGUGGUGCUGAAGCAUACCUCGCAACAACGGCAUUACCAACUGUGGAAGAAUUGGGCCUUGACUCACAUCUUCACUCCGGAAGAUGUGCGUAACCCCACUAUCCAAGGAUUAGUGCAGAAGCUAUUGGAGUUGGUCAAUUUGAUUUUGUACAGGGCUCCUGUGGUGGACAGUUUCCGUUACACUUCCAAAAACUUUUCCACUUAUCUUUAUUGCUUCGAUUAUCGUGGCCAACACCAUCGAUUUGGACAUUUGCGAAAUCCAUUGCCCUUUGAGAUCGAUGCCACUCUGAGCGAUGACAACAUUUAUCUCUUCCCCUAUCCUGAGGAAGUCAGCCGUUUGAAUCCCAUGGACAAAAAUGUGGCCAACUCCAUGGUUCGAAUGUGGGUCAGCUUUGCCCAGUAUGGCAUGCCAGCAUAUAACCAAAGCAUAUGGCCCAAUGUUAGCACAGAAUUCGGACCCUUCUUGCGAUUCACUAACACGAGGGCAGGCAAUUUGGAAUUGGAUUACCACUUUGGCGAUGGUAUACCGGUGCCAAAUCUCUAUCCUGAAUAUUUCACAACAACCACCACUACGACAACGACGACUUCAACAACAUCAACAUCAACCACCACCACAACGACGCCAAGGCCCUAUCCCUCAUACAAUUAUCAGCAAAGAUCGCAACAUCCCAACUACCAGCAAUACCCCCAUCACUAUUACCCCAAUAGGUAUGGGAACCCAGAGCAAACACCAUCUCAGCCGGGACAAACGAACACAAAUCCACGCUAUUCACAAUACUCCAUGCGACACCAGAGGCGAUUGCUUUAGAAAAACGAAAACUUAGACCAUAGCAUAUGUAGGCCUAUUGUGUCCGAUAACUUAGAUGCAUGUAGAUAGUUCAGAAACCUGCAUUUACAAUAUUUCUAAAAUAUGAUUAAUCAAACUUGCACUUUCAUUUUGCUACGAAAAUGUUCAUAUGCCGGUAUUGGCCGAGAUUGGAAGAGAUUAAAACCAAGACGUUCAUUGAA